rnacentral:rRNA from 1 species
GAUAGCUUAGCGGCGAACGGUCGCGUAACACGUAAGCAACCUGCCCUGAAGUGGGGGAUAGUCUCCCGAAAGGGAGCUUAAUACCGCAUGUGGCCACUGGUCUGCAUGGACCGGUGUCUAAAGCGAGUAAUCGCGCUUCAGGAUGGGCUUGCGGCCUAUCAGCUAGUUGGUGUGGGUAACGGCUCACCAAGGCGACGACGGGUAGCUGGUCUGAGAGGAUGGUCAGCCGGACUGGGACUGAGACACGGCCCAGACUCCUACGGGGGGCAGCAAUUAGGAAUCUUGCGCAAUGGGCGAAAGCCUGACGCAGCGACGCCGCGUGACCGAUGACGUCCUUCGGGAUGUAAAGGUCUUUUGCAGGGGAAGAAGGAUGUGACGGUACCCUGCGAAUAAGCUCCGGCUAACUACGUGCCAGCAGCCGCGGUAAUACGUAGGGAGCGAGCGUUGUCCGAAUUCACUGGGCGUAAAGCGCGCGUAGGCGGGCUUUUAAGUUGGGGGUGAAAUUCCGAGGCUCAACCUCGGAACUGCCUUCAAAACUGGAAGCCUUGAGGUUUGGAGAGGGAAGUGGAAUUCCUGGUGUAGCGGUGAAAUGCGUAGAUAUCAGGAGGAACACCUGUGGCGAAGGCGGCUUCCUGGCCAUAUCCUGACGCUGAGGUGCGAAAGCUAGGGGAGCAAACGGGAUUAGAUACCCCGGUAGUCCUAGCCGUAAACGAUGGAUACUAGGUGUUAGAGGUAU